UAAGAGUACUCCAUUGAAUGAACAUAAAUUUGGAAAGAUUUCAGCUGCUAAAGUUAAGUCCAUGGGCAAUAAAACUUACGGCUUUGAACAGCUUGAGAUUGCCGUGGGUCUUAAGGAAGUUCUUUGUGAGCUUGUGAAUGCCGAUUCUAAUUUCAAGUCAAUGAAUUUAACAAAGGAAGACUGGCAGAAGGCGACUGUCGCAUAUGAGCAUAUAAAAGCCUUACACGAUGUAGCGUGCAGUUUAUCAGAGAGCAAAUGUAAAACGGCAAAUGCAUAUUUCCCAAAGGUAUGUGACAUAUAUAUG
rnacentral:lncRNA from 1 species